rnacentral:rRNA from 1 species
GACGUAGGGCGCGAGCGUUGUCCGGAUUUAUUGGGCGUAAAGAGCUCGUAGGCGGCUUGUUGCGUCGACUGUGAAAACCCGGGGCUCAACCCCGGACUUGCAGUGGGUACGGGCAGACUAGAGUGUGGUAGGGGAGACUGGAAUUCCUGGUGUAGCGGUGAAAUGCGCAGAGUAUCAGGAGGAACACCGAUGGCGAAGGCAGGUCUCUGGGCCACUACUGACGCUGAGAAGCGAAAGCAUGGGGAGCGAACAGG